AUUAACAUAUUCAACUACAAUACAUACAUAAGUACAUGUUUGUAUGGACAAGCACAUAAUAAGCUAAAUUAGAAUACUAAAAUUAGAAAUUGUGGAAAAGCGUGGAAAAACCCCGAAGAAGAACUGAAGCCAAAGUUGAACUUCUAUAAAAGCAGCAGAGAGGCUCAAGAUGCUACUGCGCCCACGCCCACCUUGCCUAAGUAACAGCAGUAACAACAGCUAAUGCAACAACAACAAAAAGUAUAAUAGCAGCAACAAUAAUGAAAUUAUAACAACAACAACAAUAAAAAUGUAAUAGAGUUUAAAUUCAACAUUCAUAACAGUAAAUUUACAACAACAACAAAAAUUACAAAUACCACAAAAAAUUGCAAUAACGUUGAAAUCACAACAAUAAUAUAAUUACAACAACAACAUGGAAAGCACAACAACAAUAGUAACAACAACAGCAACAUUUUAACACAUCAAUUGCAACAACAACAAAAAUUACAAAAACUACAACAACAUUGCAACAAUGAUGAAAUACAUUCAACAACAGCAAUAACAUAUGCAGUUACACAAAAAUUGUAACAACUACAACAACAUUGCAAUAAUGAUGAAAUUACAAUACUUUAACCACAAAUAAUUAAAACAACUACAAUAACGAAAUUACAACAACAACAAUUAUAAUAACAACAUCAUUAAUGCAACAAUAGUGGCAGUAGCAGUACUUCGUUAAAAACUUUUGACUUGCAACAUUAUUUUUCGACCGCCUCUUCGGCUGUCGGCGUCCAGCGCGAUUUCAAUACAACAAGCAACCGCUCCGGGAUAUAUGUAUGUACAUAUGUAGUGCAUUUGCUGUGAAGCCUCUACACUGGAUAAACUGUUCCAAGAAAGCAACCUCAUUGCACACGCCAAAACACACGCCGCCGAGUGCAUCAGUUUAUUUAAGCAUACUUUUGUGCGCGCAGCGUUGUAAAUAGUUAUACGCCAUUUCUUCACCAGUUUUUUGAGUGCAACCAUAAUAGUGUUCUAACUUUAUUCAACUUUGUGCUACUCUGUGCAACCGAGCAACAUUUUAUGAGUAUGUUAACAGAUAGAAAGCGAUGAGCAAGCACAACAACAACAACAUAAAUAGCUGUGCAGAAAUGUGGCAAUAAUGGUGUGUGUGUGUUGCGUGCUUUGCUGCGAAGUUGAAGACAGUUAACGCACCACGUCGACGCUUGACUGAACGGAGGAGUCCUGGGAGAGCAUGUGAGCGCGCGUCUAAGAGCAUAAACAUAAACAACACUUGCACAAAUAGGCGCCAGCGGCUUCGAAACGGCAUAGCGGUGCAUAGCGAUUUAAGCAAAAGCAUAUGCUCGUAGAUAAACUCGUGCAAAAAAAGGCAAGGCAAGGAGUCACGAAGCGUGCGUGGCCUGCGGCGCAUAUUAUUGUGUAACUGCAUGCGUGUGUGGGUGUAUAUGUGAAGGUAUAUAUGCACGUAAAGAUAUUGGAAAAAGGAGGCGCAACAAAGCUAACUGAAAAAAGAGCAACAUAAGUAAAAAUAAUAAUAAAAAUUAAUAAAAAAAAGUUACGUAUACGCAGUGGCAGCCACAUUGCACCGCUUUCCGCUUGAAUGCCGAUGGGAUUGCUCCACCAGCGCGACUGGGGUUUAAGCGCAGCAUUUUGGUAAUAGACUGAAUGGCAUUCGAAUGCACUAACGGUAAAUGCGUUUGCUGACGGGGAAGUGGAGAAAAGACAGUUGCCUUACGUUGCGUUUGUGCACGCGCUCUUUCGUGCGGAAAUUGUGUGUGCAUGAGUCAAAGUAAAUCAAUAAUGGAGUGCAGAAAAAAAUCGAGAGUACAACAAUAAGAAAAAAAGUGCAGCGGUAAAAAACGAUAAAUAGUGUACUACAUCAUCACAGCAAGUGCUGAAACUCGAUGCUAAGUAAAGGAAAUUGAAAGCUGCUGCUUUGCUUUGUUUUGCCGCGCUCAGCGGCAUUCAUUGCCUUUGUUGCGUGUAAGCCAACUAAAAUGCUUCUCAAAACUUUGUUACUCUGAGUUAUUUCGGACAAAAUUUUUUACGCGCCUGCCAAAAUUGAAAUCACAAAUUUUUGCUAUCGAAGUAGAGGGUUGAACAUAUUUUUGAGAAUGGUUGCCGGCUAUUUUAAAAUUUCUGUAAAUAAAAAAAAUUUAAGGAUUUAAAAUCAUAAUACGAAAGUGUAGCCACUUCUUUGCAUAAUUAAAUAUUUUAAAAUUUCUGUAUGUAAAUUAAAACAUUAGAAAAAGUUGAAAAUUUAUUUAAAAAACGUUGCCACUUGUUUAAGAAAUUUAAUAUUAAAAAGCUUUAAAAUUUUUUAAAAUUAAAAAUAAAAAAAAAUUAUAAAACGUUGCCACUGUUUUGGAAAUUUUAUUGUAGUUUCUAACAAUUUAAAAACUUUUAAGUGUUAAUAAAAAUAUUUAAGAAAGUUAAAAAUUUUUUGGAAAGCAUUGUCACUUGUUUAAGAAUUUUAAUUUUAAAAGACUUUAAAAAUUGUAAAGUUGCUGCAUGUAAAUAAAAAAAAUUAAAAAUGCUCAAA